CUGAAAAUUAUUUUACCAUGACUGAAAUAAGCACACCACAUAUCUGUUUGGCAACUAACCUCCCUACAAAAAUAAUUACUAGUAAUACAAGUAUUAAUCUACCUCUCCCCUUUUCAGGAUGUUUGACUAAUGUUACCUGGUUAGAUCUUAAUGGCACCCAAUAUUAUUUUAGCGACACAAUCACUUGAGACAAACAUAUUAAUAUAUUAAUGCCC